rnacentral:lncRNA from 1 species
GUUUGCCUGGGAUUGUCAUACUCUCCAGAGAUCCUGUUCCAAAAUGGCUCUGGAGUCACCUGCUGGGGACCUGCAGAGCAUGUGAGGAGAGAGGGGAGAACGUCUGGACCCAGGAGAGGCAGAACCUGGAGUGCACAUUCCUCAGCCUGAGGGGAUCUGAGCAAAUGGAGAAGUUGGCAGUGCCCUCAGCCUGGCCUGGGGUUUGGUGCCCCCCGAGCUCUUAUUUGCUGCUGGUUCUGUGGUGACAGAGCCUAAGCUAAGCCACCAGGAUUUCUGUGUUUGGUUUAUUUGUUUUAAAAAA